rnacentral:rRNA from 1 species
GAUGAACGCUAGCGGCAGGCCUAACACAUGCAAGUCGAGGGAGAAGCCCUUCGGGGCAGAAACCGGCGCACGGGUGCGUAACGCGUAUGCAACCUACCUUUCACAGGGGGAUAGCCCGAAGAAAUUUGGAUUAAUACCCCAUAAUAUUAUUGGAUGGCAUCAUUUGAUAAUUAAAAUUACGAUGGUGAAAGAUGGGCAUGCGUCCUAUUAGCUAGUUGGAGUGGUAACGGCACCCCAAGGCUACGAUAGGUAGGGGUCCUGAGAGGGAGAUCCCCCACACUGGUACUGAGACAGGGACCAGACUCCUACGGGAGGCAGCAGUGAGGAAUAUUGGUCAAUGGUCGGAAGACUGAACCAGCCAUGCCGCGUGCAGGAAGAAUGCCUUAUGGGUUGUAAACUGCUUUUUAUAUGGGAAAGAAAUAAAGGAAGCACGUGUGCUUG